rnacentral:rRNA from 1 species
GACGAACGCUGGCGGCGUGCUUAACACAUGCAAGUCGAACGGAAAGGCCCUGCUUUUGUGGGGUGCCCGAGUGGCGAACGGGUGAGUAACACGUGAGUAACCUGCCCUUGACUUUGGGAUAACUUCAGGAAACUGGGGCUAAUACCGGAUAGGAGCUCCUGCUGCAUGGUGGGGGUUGGAACGUUUCGGCGGUUGGGGAUGGACUCGCGGCUUAUCAGCUUGUUGGUGGGGUAGUGGCUUACCAAGGCUUUGACGGGUAGCCGGCCUGAGAGGGUGACCGGCCACAUUGGGACUGAGAUACGGCCCAGACUCCUACGGGAGGCAGCAGUGGGGAAUAUUGCACAAUGGGCGGAAGCCUGAUGCAGCAACGCCGCGUGCGGGAUGACGGCCUUCGGGUUGUAAACCGCUUUCGCCUGUGACGAAGCGUGAGUGACGGUACUGGGUAAAGAAGCACCGGCUAACUACGUG